ACUUUUUGUUUUGACUGAUAAGUAACCACAGUAAAUGUCAAUUAUGUCCAUGCAAACUAUUAUGAAUGCUAUCUUAAUGCCAUUGAAAGCAUAAAGUAUCCCUGUCUUUGGUGGUUAACAUCCUUAUGUAGCUUCACUAUAUCUAUAAAAUUUCUGUGCUUUCCCAUAUCCCAGAACUUACUUUGAGCAUCUUUUAUUGAACAUAAAUGUAAGAGUGGGUGAAAUCUUUCACGGGACCAUUUAUUGAAGAACAGUAGUGCUCUUUUGUCACUGUGGCAUAGCUUUAGUGAUGUGCUUCUGUAUUUUGACCCCUACCCAAGAAUGUGCACUAGUUAAGUGCUCUGAAGAUCAGAUGAGAAUCUUCAUAAACAAUACUCACACUAGUUUGUAUCAUAGAAACAUAUGGCUCAGCUAUGCUUAGAAACAUAUGACUCAGCUAUGCUAUCUGUAUUUUGACCCCUACCCAAGAAUGUGCACUAGUUAAGUGUUCUGAAGAUCAGAUGAGAGUCUUCAUAAACAAUACUCACUCUAGUUUGCAUCAUAGACACAUAUGACUCAGCUAUGCUUGAAUGCCUUUUGUCCAUUAGAAGUCGUCUUCUGGUAAAGGUCUUGUCAAAUAAACAGCAUUAUAUACAGCUGCUGGCCUUGUUUUUCCGCUGGCAAUAUCCACCACCAUCACAAUCGAAACCUAAGCACUCCAAAGCCUGCAUAUUUGUUUACAAAUUAGUUCAGUUAGAAUUUAAUAGUAUGUGCUCCGUAUUAAAUAGUAAAGAUUGAAGGGUGUCUUAAUUGUACAGAAUGUGCUAAUUUUGUUUUGGAGCAGAUCAGUACAAACUACUGUCUUUGUUGCAUGUUACUGUACUAUAUUUAUGUUACUCAGCCAAUUUGUUAUUAUUUGCUCUGAACAGAAAAGAGUAAACUGAUUUCUUGCUUCACCAGUUCCUUGUGCUAGUAACAAUAAGCAAAUUUAGUGCUGCUUAAUUCCUUGAUUGACAAAACAAGCUAGUACAGCACCAUUAAGCUAUCCUUAUAGAUCAAAGGCCUACAGAGACAAUGGUUUUCUUAAGGCUACUCUGCAAGUCUCUGUAUUCAGCUGAAGUCUGAACAGGGAAUACAUUAGUUCAUUCUUUAAUUGAUAUUUUGUGCUAGAUCCCAGCAGCACAAAAGAUGCUUAUUUUGAUAAAAGUCCUAACUUUCGUAGGUAACGUUUAGAAAUAAAUGCCUUUAAAACAUCUGCA
rnacentral:lncRNA from 1 species